UUUUUUUUUUUUUUUUUUUUUUUUUUUUUUUUUUUUUUG
rnacentral:ribozyme from 1 species